GAUGAACGCUGGCGGCGUGCCUAACACAUGCAAGUCGAGCGAUCUCUUCGGAGAGAGCGGCGGACGGGUGAGUAACGCGUGGGUAACCUGCCCUGUACACACGGAUAACAUACCGAAAGGUAUACUAAUACGGGAUAAUAUAUGAAAGUCGCAUGGCUUUUGUAUCAAAGCUCCGGCGGUACAGGAUGGACCCGCGUCUGAUUAGCUAGUUGGUAAGGUAAUGGCUUACCAAGGCAACGAUCAGUAGCCGACCUGAGAGGGUGAUCGGCCACACUGGAACUGAGACACGGUCCAGACUCCUACGGGAGGCAGCAGUGGGGAAUAUUGCACAAUGGGCGAAAGCCUGAUGCAGCAACGCCGCGUGAGCGAUGAAGGCCUUCGGGUCGUAAAGCUCUGUCCUCAAGGAAGAUAAUGACGGUACUUGAGGAGGAAGCCCCGGCUAACUACGUGCCAGCAGCCGCGGUAAUACGUAGGGGGCUAGCGUUAUCCGGAAUUACUGGGCGUAAAGGGUGCGUAGGUGGUUUUUUAAGUCAGAAGUGAAAGGCUACGGCUCAACCGUAGUAAGCUUUUGAAACUAGAGAACUUGAGUGCAGGAGAGGAGAGUAGAAUUCCUAGUGUAGCGGUGAAAUGCGUAGAUAUUAGGAGGAAUACCAGUAGCGAAGGCGGCUCUCUGGACUGUAACUGACACUGAGGCACGAAAGCGUGGGGAGCAAACAGGAUUAGAUACCCUGGUAGUCCACGCCGUAAACGAUGAGUACUAGGUGUCGGGGGUUACCCCCCUCGGUGCCGCAGCUAACGCAUUAAGUACUCCGCCUGGGAAGUACGCUCGCAAGAGUGAAACUCAAAGGAAUUGACGGGGACCCGCACAAGUAGCGGAGCAUGUGGUUUAAUUCGAAGCAACGCGAAGAACCUUACCUAAGCUUGACAUCCCACUGACCUCUCCCUAAUCGGAGAUUUCCCUUCGGGGACAGUGGUGACAGGUGGUGCAUGGUUGUCGUCAGCUCGUGUCGUGAGAUGUUGGGUUAAGUCCCGCAACGAGCGCAACCCUUGCCUUUAGUUGCCAGCAUUAAGUUGGGCACUCUAGAGGGACUGCCGAGGAUAACUCGGAGGAAGGUGGGGAUGACGUCAAAUCAUCAUGCCCCUUAUGCUUAGGGCUACACACGUGCUACAAUGGGUGGUACAGAGGGUUGCCAAGCCGCGAGGUGGAGCUAAUCCCUUAAAGCCAUUCUCAGUUCGGAUUGUAGGCUGAAACUCGCCUACAUGAAGCUGGAGUUACUAGUAAUCGCAGAUCAGAAUGCUGCGGUGAAUGCGUUCCCGGGUCUUGUACACACCGCCCGUCACACCAUGGAAGUUGGGGGCGCCCGAAGCCGGUUAGCUAACCUUUUAGGAAGCGGCCGUCGAAGGUGAAACCAAUGACUGGGGUGAAGUCGUAACAAGGUAGCCGUAUCGGAAGGUGCGGCUGGAUCACCUCCUUUCUAAGGAGUAAUUGCCUACUGUUUAAUUUUGAGAGUUCUUGAAUGAACUUCAUAUUGUGGGGGUGUAGCUCAGCUGGGAGAGCACUUGCCUUGCACGCAAGGGGUCAGGAGUUCGAUCCUCCUCAUCUCCACCAUAUUAGUACUUAAUUGUACUUUAGUACUUUGAAAACUGCAUAACAUUUAGUGAUGAUUAAAUAAACCAAUUAUAAGAGAAGAAAACUCUUUAAAAAAUAACACUUUUGAUAACUGGUCAAGUUAUUAAGGGCGCAGGGCGGAUGCCUUGGCACUAAGAGCCGAUGAAGGACGCGAUAAGCUGCGAUAAGCUUCGGGGAGUUGCACGUAAACUUUGAUCCGAAGAUUUCCGAAUGAGGAAACUCACUUAGAGUAAUGUCUAAGUAUCAUUAAGUGAAUACAUAGCUUAGUGAGGGGAACCCGGGGAACUGAAACAUCUAAGUACCCGGAGGAAAAGAAAGAAAUUCGAUUCCGUAAGUAGCGGCGAGCGAACGCGGAACAGCCCAAACCAGUGAAGUUUUCUUCGCUGGGGUUGCGGACACAUCAUCAACAAAGAGGUAUCGUAAACGAAGAGAGUUGGAAAGCUCCGCUAUAAAGUGUAAUAGCCACGUAGUUGAAACGAGAAGACUUUAGAUGUGAUCCAGAGUACCACGGGACACGUGAAACCCUGUGGGAAGCAGGAGGGACCAUCCUCCAAGGCUAAAUACUACUUAGUGACCGAUAGCGCAU
rnacentral:rRNA from 1 species